rnacentral:rRNA from 1 species
AGUGAACGCUGGCGGCAGGCCUAAUACAUGCAAGUCGAACGGCAGCACAGCAGAGCUUGCUCUGUGGGUGGCGAGUGGCGGACGGGUGAGGAAUACAUGGGAAUCUGCCCAGUCGUGGGGGAUAACGUAUGGAAACGUACGCUAAUACCGCAUGCGCCCUAAGGGGGAAAGCCGGGGACCGCAAGGCCUGGCGCGAUUGGAUGAGCCCAUGUUCGAUUAGCUAGUUGGCGGGGUAAAGGCCCACCAAGGCGACGAUCGAUAGCUGGUCUGAGAGGAUGAUCAGCCACACUGGAACUGAGACACGGUCCAGACUCCUACGGGAGGCAGCAGUAGGGAAUAUUGGACAAUGGGGGCAACCCUGAUCCAGCCAUGCCGCGUGAGUGAAGAAGGCCCUCGGGUUGUAAAGCUCUUUUGUCCGGAAAGAAAAGCACUGGGUUAAUACCCCGGUGUCCUGACGGUACCGGAAGAAUAAGCACCGGCUAACUUCGUGCCAGC